rnacentral:rRNA from 1 species
GACGAACGCUGGCGGCGUGCCUAAUACAUGCAAGUAGACCUGAGUUUCUAACGGGUGAGUAACGCGUAGGAACCUGCCUCAUAGCGUGGGAUAACUUUUGGAAACGAUAGCUAAUACCGCAUACUGUGAGAUGGACCUGCGUCGCAUUAGCUAGUUGGUUAGGUAAAGGCUCCCCAAGGCGACGUUAAAUAGCCGACCUGAGAGGAUGAUCAGAAACACUGGAACUGAGACACGGUCCAGACUCCUACGGGAGGCAGCAGGGGGGAAUAUUGGACAAUGGGCGAAAGCCUGAUCCAGCCAUGCCGCGUGUGUGAAGAAGGUCUUCGGAUGGUAAAGCACUUUAAGUUGGGAGGCGGGACCAACAGAAUAAGCACCGGCUAACUUCGUGCCAGCAGCCGCGGUAAUAC